GCAAGUCGAGCGGUAACAUUUCUAAAGCUUGCUUUUGAAGAUGACGAGCGGCGGACGGGUGAGUAAUGCCUAGGAAAUUGCCCUAAUGUGGGGGAUAACCAUUGGAAACGAUGGCUAAUACCGCAUGAUGCCUACGGGCCAAAGCGGGGGAUCUUCGGGCCUCUCGCGACAGGAUAUGCCGAGGUGGGAUUAGCUAGUUGGUGAGGUAAUGGCUCACCAAGGCGACGAUCCCUAGCUGGUCUGAGAGGAUGAUC
rnacentral:rRNA from 1 species